rnacentral:rRNA from 1 species
GAUGAACGCUGGCGGCGUGCCUAAUACAUGCAAGUCGAGCGAACGGACGAGAAGCUUGCUUCUCUGAUGUUAGCGGCGGACGGGUGAGUAACACGUGGAUAACCUACCUAUAAGACUGGGAUAAAUUCGGGAAACCGGAGCUAAUACCGGAUGAUAUUUUGAACCGCAUGGUUCAAAAGUGAAAGACGGUCUUGCUGUCACUUAUAGCUGGAUCCGCGCUUCAUUAGCUAGUUGGUAAGGUAACGGCUUACCAAGGCAACGAUGCAUAGCCGACCUGAGAGGGUGAUCGGCCACACUGGAACGGAGACACGGUCCAGACUCCUACGGGAGGCAGCAGUAGGGAAUCUUCCGCAAUGGGCGAAAGCCUGACGGAGCAACGCCGCGUGAGUGAUGAAGGUCUUCGGAUCGUAAAACUCUGUUAUUAGGGAAGAACAUAUGUGUAAGUAACUGUGCACAUCUUGACGGUACCUAAUCAGAAAGCCACGGCUAACUACGUG